UACGGGGGGAGCAAGCGUUGUUCGGAUUUACUGGGCGUAAAGGGCGCGUAGGCGGCCACCGCAAGUCGACUGUGAAAUCUCCGGGCUUAACCCGGAACGGUCAGCCGAUACUGCGGGGCUAGAGUGCAGAAGGGGCAACUGGAAUUCUCGGUGUAGCGGUGAAAUGCGUAGAUAUCGGGAGGAACACCAGUGGCGAAGGCGGUUGCCUGGGGCUUUGCUGACGCUGAUGCGCGAAAGCGUGGGGAGCGAUCCGG
rnacentral:rRNA from 1 species